CCUAACUCCUAACAUUAGCCUAGCAUAGCUUAGCUUAGCCAGGCUAGCUUCCUCUGUCCUCAGGGGGGCUGCUACGUGAAUCCAGGCUUUGAGAUUUAACAUGCUUCUGUUUACGUGUGUGUGUGUCAUGUCAUUCUGGUUUGUCUGUUAAUGCGGUGGAAUUCACGUUAGAGCUUCGGAACAGAUGUAUUUCCAUUAAACUGAGCAGAGGAUUGUUGUUGCUGUUGUUGGGUUUUUUUUGUUUGUUUUUUUCCGUUUGGCAGAAGACGCCCUUGCCAGGUUUGUUUAUGAAUUAUGAAGGCAGGAAGUAGUUGUGCAGACUUGUUUAGACUCGCCUGAUUUUCAGGGGGUUUUUUUCCCCCCACUUCUUCACUUGUACCUCUGUUUCACUGUAUCUGUUUAUUGCUUGAGUUCCUACUUGUUUUUAAUCCCCCCCCCCUCUCUUGUGCACUGUUUGAGUUAUUGUUUUUGCCAAGACGCGCAUGCUUGUGGUUUUUAUCUAUCCCCCCCCUUCCUCUCCCUCUUUCUCUCUCUCGCUCCCUCCCUCACUCUGAGUGUGGGUGCACUCUAUGCUGACAGCAGUGUUCUCAAGCAGCUGUGUUCAGGUACAGACCCACGAGCGGAAACCCCACAAGCCAGCGAAAGGGCAGGGGCUUGUACAGUGUGUUCAGUUUCAUGCUCAGUCAUACUGAAACUGUGCACUGUGCUAGCAAAGGGAAGAGCUGUGUGCCUGUAUACACGUUCCAGUCUGAGAUGACUAUAUUGUCAAAAUACAACACAUCCAGACAGUGUGGGUGUAUGUAUGUGUGUAUGUAUGUAUGUAUGUAUGUAUGUAUGUAUGUAUGUAUGUAUGUAAAGAUUACCAUUCAAGGAAAUUUAGAUGUACAAAACCCACAAGUUAGACAUUUAAUAUGAGCACCAUCCAAGUGAUAAUCCAAAUGUCGCCAUAAACACAGCAACACGUCCACAUCAGUGCUUUUAAUAGUGGCUGUGAUUCUUGCCUUCAGGUUAUGAAAUGAAAAUGAGAAAACUUAUUAAAAACUAGGUCUUCAGAAAAACAGUUUCUCCACAAAAUGGGACGAUACCCGGAUUUUUACACCUCUUUCUUAACUUUUUACACUGAUUAGCUAUAAUAUUAAAACCACUGGCAAGUGAAGUGAAUAACAUUGAUUAUUUCAUUACAUUGGCACCUGUCGAGGGGUGGGAUAUAUUUAUUAGGCAUCAAGUGAACAGUCAGUUCUUGAAGUUGAUGUGUUGGAAGCAGGAAAAAUGGGCAAGGGUAAGGAUCUGAGCGACUUUGACAAGGGCCAAAUUGUGAAGAAUAGACGGCCGGGUCAGUGCAUCUCCGAAACAGCAGGUCUUAUGGCCACCUACCAAAUGUGGUCCAAGGCAGGACAACUGGUGAACCGGCGACAGGGUCAUGGGUGCUGCCCGAGGCUCAUAGUUGUCCGUGGGGAGGCGGGGCCAGCCUGUCUGGUCCGAUCCCAUAGAAGAGCUACUGUAGCACAAAAUGCUGGCUUUGGUAGUAAGGUGUCAGUACACACAAUACAUUGCCGCUUACUGCAUAGCCGUAGACCGGUCAGAGUGCCCAUGCUGACCCGGUCCACUGCUGAAAGCACCUACAAUGGGCACAUGAGUAUCAGAACUGGACCAUGGAGGAAUGGAAGAAGGUGACCUGGUCUGAUGAAUUGCGUUUUCUUUUACAUCAUGUGGAUGACUGGGUGCGUGUGAGUCGCUUAUCUGGGAGGAAAUGGCACCAGGAUGCGCUAUGGGAAGAAGACAAGCCGGCGGUGGCAGUGUGAUACCCUGGGAAAUGUUCUGCUGGCAUUCAUGUGGAUGUUACUUUGACAGAUCUCAAUCCGAUUGAGCAUCUGUGGGAUGUACUGGACAAACAAGUCCGAUCCAUGGAGACACCACCUCACAACUUACAGGACUUAAAGGAUCUGCUGCUAAAGUCUUGGUGCCAGACACCACAGCACACCUUCAGAGGUCUUGUGGAGUCCUCUGAAGUCAGAGCUAUUUUGGUGGCACAAGGCACUGAUCGGUGUAUAUUGAAUAAAAGUUGUAUAUUUUGGUUAAAAUUCGUUUCUAAGAUGAAUGCAAAUAUUGAAUCUAAUUCCUAUAUUUAAAUUUAUUUGUGAAGUAUCCUGGUGUCCCCUCAAACCAAUGGUUUUAAUUUAAACCUUAUUUUCUCUGUCUAUUUGGGAACUUUAAGACAUGCCAUCAGAAAUACUGCAAAGAAUUUAAAAUGAAGUAGGUUGAGUUUGUUUAACAAUUUUCUGGGUCAUUACAUAAUUCCCUGUGUGUUAUUUCCUUGUCCUUGUAAAGCAGGAUGUCAAUCAUACAGCCCAAUAAAGUUUCUUAUAUUGACACAAAAUGAAUUUUAAAUCUGUGUUCUAAAUAUAAAUCAUCCGGUGGUGCCUGAUUAAAUUUAAUGAUUAAAAAACAGAGUUUGUCUAGAGUGUAAUUCCACUAGGGAGACAGAUAAACUCAGGGCCAUAAACUCAGCUACUGACAAAUGUAUUUUUUUUAUUGGCAAGCUAAAACAUUUGUCGCUAUAAUGAUGUUUUUUAUUGUUUGUUUGUUUUCUUCAAACUGUUUAAUUUAGGGGGGUUGACAACAACAGUGAAUACGUUUUAUUUGUACCUUUUUAGAUUUCCCCACACAAAGUCCCUGCCCAUUUUCACAAAUCUCCACCCCCAGGAUAUACAGUAUAGUAGCCAGUAGAGUGUCUACAAAAGGAUCAACAGGAGGCUUAUCUAAACAAAAACAAGAAUUCCUGACUGGAAGUCAGUUUUCCCCAAACAGUUUUCCAGCCACUUGGUACACUUGUGCUGAGGUCAUGUCUUAAAACAGUAUCUUUUAAUCAUCUUCUAAAUAUCGUUCAGGUUAUUUGUACAAGUAAGAGUUAUUUUAAUCGACUAUUGCAUUUAAGAGGAUUUACUGAUGUGGCAUCGGUGUACUACAGGAGUUUGACACCUCUGAUCUAAAGGGGCAAGUGGACCCAAUCCCUUCCACUAAAUUUCUCUCCACAGCCUUACAGAACCACACAUUUUUCUUUUCGUUGUUCGCCAUAUUUCCGAAAGUAUAUAUUAAAGUUAAGAUAUAUUAAGUAUAUAUUAUAAUAUAUCUAAUAAUUAUUAGUAUAUAUUAAGAUACUUUCCGACUUAACUAUAUGAACAAACAAUGCUAAUAACACAUUACUAUGUGUUUUUAUUUUUUGCCCAGCCUAAGAUUCUUGAGUAUAAUAUGACGUCAACUCAAAAUGUAAACAGUAUGAGUGAAAAUAAUUAGCAUAAUAAUGUAAUUAAUAUAGCAUAAUAUAACAUGCCUGGGUAACUGUCACUCUCUUUUCCAUUCAUGCAGUUAAAUCAGAGUAGGGGGAACAGAUUGGUCUGAAUAAAUCUUAAGAUACUUUGUGUAAAAAGUCAAAACUGUAAUGAAAACAUUUCUCAUCUGAAUAGACUACAGGCAUUAAUCACUUCCACGUCUGUGUGUUAUUUACUAUGACUGCAUGUACACCACUUUUGUGAGUUAUUGACUCAUUGUAUGCUAAUAGCCUACGCCCACAGGGUAGCAGGUGAUUAGCAUUAAGCAGGCCUGGUCUCACUGAUGGUGCAGUCUGAUCAGGCGCACACUGGUGAUAAACUAAUCCCCGUUUUCCCAUACGCCCUUGACUCUUCAUUAGCAAGGCUUGUUUGGAAGAAGCAGAAACAGUAGCUGAACAGUAGAGCUCGUCCAGUCCUCUGGAGAAAUCACUGUAGCUGUAAGUUGACGCGGAGGUACGUAGACGAGCCGGGUGCGUUAUUGUGUACAGCUCUUCUGCAUAUACAGCAGUCGUGUUUCUGUGUGACUUAAAUGUGUGUAUAGGGAAGGAAAGGUUUUCUGAUUUGAUAUCAUCUGUCGUUACGACGAUCAAAUAUGGAAAAUAGUGAACGGAAAGUAAGAGUGGUCAUUAUCGCGUUUUUCCCUUUGUCCUACCUUGUUAACCAGCACUAAGUAUGAUCUUCAAACUCGGAUUAUGAAUCUUGAAACCUGAUUUGCUGAGCUGAGUUUGGAGGUCUUGUAACAUCCUCUAUACAAACACACACACACACACACACACACACACCUGUGAUUACAGUAAUUGAACAAGUUUUAAACAAGAAAUUCAUUAUACUAAAUGACUGACCACUGUCCUGUCCAUAUAAUACCCUAAUACAGGUAUUUUUCUGAUAUAUUGCUUAGCAACCAAAGCGUAAUGUUAUCUGACCACUUUGUUUAGUGAAAGAGUUUUUUAUUACAAAAAAAAAAAAAAAAAAAAGUUGAGUAACUUACAACAGAUGAUAAGGUUAUAUGAAAAUAA